CCUACGGGUGGCAGCAGUGGGGAAUUUUGCGCAAUGCUCGUAAGAGUGACGCAGCGACGCCGCGUGAAUGACGAAGGCCUUCGGGUCGUAAAGUUCUUUCGACAGGGAAGAAAAUGCCUAUAAGUAACUGUGUAUGUAUUGACGGUACCUGUAUAAGCAGCCCCGGCUAACUCCGUGCCAGCAGCCGCGGUAAUACGGAGGGGCGGGGCGUGUUCGGAGGGACUGGGCGUAAAGAGAACGUAGGAGGUGUUGUAAGUCAUUAGUCAAAGACUAGAGCUCAACUUUAGUAAGGCUAGUGAUACUAUAAUACGAGAGUAGCAGAGAGGAUGGCAGAAUUCCUGGUGGAGCGGUGAAAUGCGUAGAUAUCAGGAGGAAUACCGUUAGCGAAGGCGGCAAUCUGGCUGGAGACUGACGCUGAGGUGCGAAAGCGUGGGUAGCAAACAGGAUUAGAUACCCGGGUAGUC
rnacentral:rRNA from 1 species